rnacentral:rRNA from 1 species
AUACGGAGGGUGCAAGCGUUAAUCGGAAUUACUGGGCGUAAAGCGCACGCAGGCGGUCAAUUAAGUCAGAUGUGAAAGCCCCGGGCUUAACUUGGGAAUUGCAUCUGAAACUGGUUGGCUAGAGUCUUGUAGAGGGGGGUAGAAUUACACGUGUAGCGGUGAAAUGCGUAGAGAUGUGGAGGAAUACCGGUGGCGAAGGCGGCCCCCUGGACAAAGACUGACGCUCAGGUGCGAAAGCGUGGGGAGCAAACAGGAUUAGAUACCCUGGUAGUCCACGCUGUAAACGAUGUCGAUUUAGAGGUUGUGGUCUUGAACUGUGGCUUCUGGAGCUAACGCGUUAAAUCGACCGCCUGGGGAGUACGGCCGCAAGGUUAAAACUCAAAUGAAUUGACGGGG